rnacentral:rRNA from 1 species
CAAAGAAAUCUUAGCGGCGGACGGGUGAGUAACACGUGGGCAACCUGCCUUGAAGAGGGGGAUAACAUUGAGAAAUCAGUGCUAAUACCGCAUAACAUACAGACAUCGCCUGAUGACUGUAUCAAAGGAGAAAUCCGCUUUGAGAUGGGCCCGCGGCUGAUUAGCUAGUUGGUGAGGUAAUGGCUCACCAAGGCGACGAUCAGUAGCCGACCUGAGAGGGUGACCGGCCACACUGGAACUGAGACACGGUCCAGACUCCUACGGGAGGCAGCAGUGGGGAAUAUUGCGCAAUGGGGGAAACCCUGACGCAGCAACGCCGCGUGGAGGAAGAAGGUCUUCGGAUUGUAAACUCCUGUCUUCUGGGACGAUAAUGACGGUACCAGAGGAGGAAGCCACGGCUAACUACGUGCCAGCAGCCGCGGUAAUACGUAGGUGGCGAGCGUUGUCCGGAAUUAUUGGGCGUAAAGGGCGCGUAGGCGGCUCUUUAAGUCAGAUGUGAAAACCCAGGGCUUAACUCUGGGAGUGCAUUUGAACUGAAGGGCUCGAGUGCAGGAGAGGUAAGUGGAAUUCCUAGUGUAGCGGUGAAAUGCGUAGAUAUUAGGAGGAACACCAGUGGCGAGGGCGACUUAUUGGACUGUAACUGACGCUGAGGCGCGAAAGCGUGGGGAGCAAACAGGAUUAGAUACCCUGGUAGUCCACGCUGUAAACGAUGGAUACUAGGUGUGGGAGGUAUCGACCCCUUCCGUGCCGCAGUUAACGCAAUAAGUAUCCC